rnacentral:rRNA from 1 species
AGAGUUUGAUCCUGGCUCAGAACGAACGCUGGUGGCGUGUUUUAUACAUGCAAGUCGAGCGAGGACAAUAGCUUGCUAUUGAGCCGAGCGGCGAACGGGUGAGUAACGCGUAAGCAAUCUGCCCCAUAGUCGGGAAUAACCGCGCUAACGUGCGGCUAAUGCCGGAUAUUGUGUCCUACCGCAUGGUAGGUUGACGAAAGAUUUAUCGCUAUGGGAUGAGCUUGCGUCCGAUUAGCUAGUUGGUAGGGUAAUGGCCUACCAAGGCAGUGAUCGGUAGCCGACCUGAGAGGGUGAUCGGCCACAUUGGGAUUGAGAUACGGCCCAGACUCCUACGGGAGGCAGCAGUAAAGAAUAUUGCGCAAUGGGGGGAACCCUGACGCAGCAACGCCACGUGUGGGAAGAAGCAUUUCGGUGUGUAAACCACUGUCGAAAAGGAAUAAUAGAAGAUUUCGGUCUUUUUGAAUGUACUUUUAAUAGGAAGCACCGGCAAACUUCGUGCCAGCAGCCGCGGUAAUACGAGGGGUGCAAGCGUUGUUCGGAAUUACUGGGCGUAAAGGGAGCGUAGGCGGAGCUUCAAGCAAUCUGUAUAAUCCUGGGGCCCAACCCCAGUCCUGCAGAUUGGACUGUAGCUCUUGAAUAGUUCAGAGGCAAGCGGAAUACCUGGUGGAGCGGUAAAAUGCGCAGAGAUCAGGAGGAACACCGGUGGCGAAGGCGGCUUUCUGGCUGACAACUGACGCUGAGGCGCGAAAGCGUGGGGAGCAAACAGGAUUAGAUACCCUGGUAGUCCACGCCGUAAACGAUGAUUACUGGGUGUAGGGGGUAUCGACUCCCUCUGUGCCGAAGCUAACGCGAUAAGUAAUCCACCUGGGGAGUACGGCCGCAAGGCUAAAACUCAAAGGAAUUGACGGGGGCCCGCACAAGCAGUGGAGUAUGUGGUUUAAUUCGAGGCAACGCGAAGAACCUUACCAGGGUUUGACAUCCCGCGCUCGGGGUAGAGAUACCCUUUUCCCUUCGGGGACGCGGAGACAGGUGGUGCAUGGUUGUCGUCAGCUCGUGUCGUGAGAUGUUCGGUUAAGUCCGGCAACGAGCGCAACCCUCGUUGUCAGUUGCCAUCAUUUGGUUGGGCACUCUGGCGAGACUGCCGUUGACAAAACGGAGGAAGGUGGGGAUGACGUCAAAUCAUCAUGCCCCUUAUGUCCUGGGCUACACACGUACUACAAUGGGCGUUACAACGGGCAGCGAAACCGCGAGGUGGAGCGAAUCCCCAAAGGCGCCCUCAGUUCGGAUUGCAGGCUGAAACUCGCCUGCAUGAAGCCGGAAUUGCUAGUAAUGGCAGGUCAGCAUACUGCCGUGAAUACGUUCCCGGGCCUUGUACACACCGCCCG